GACGAACGCUGGCGGCGUGCUUAACACAUGCAAGUCGAACGGAAAGGCCCCAGCUUGCUGGAGUACUCGAGUGGCGAACGGGUGAGUAACACGUGGGUAAUCUGCCCUGCACUCUGGGAUAAGCCUGGGAAACUGGGUCUAAUACUGGAUAUGACCUUUCUCCUUAUGGGGGUUGGUGGAAAGUUUUUCGGUGUAGGAUGAGCCCGCGGCCUAUCAGCUUGUUGGUGGGGUGAUGGCCUACCAAGGCGACGACGGGUAGCCGGCCUGAGAGGGUGAUCGGCCACAUUGGGACUGAGAUACGGCCCAGACUCCUACGGGAGGCAGCAGUGGGGAAUAUUGCACAAUGGGCGGAAGCCUGAUGCAGCGACGCCGCGUGAGGGAUGACGGCCUUCAGGUUGUAAACCUCUUUCAGCAGGGACGAAGCGUAAGUGACGGUACCCGCAGAAGAAGCACCGGCUAACUAUGUG
rnacentral:rRNA from 1 species